rnacentral:piRNA from 1 species
UGAAAGAGGAUUUGGUUUCCUCUUGUGCA